ACGCUAGCUACAGGCUUAACACAUGCAAGUCGAGGGGAAACGGCAUUGAGUGCUUGCACUCUUUGGACGUCGACCGGCGCACGGGUGAGUAACGCGUAUCCAACCUUCCCAUUACUGUGGGAUAACCUGCCGAAAGGCAGACUAAUACCGCAUAGUCUUCGAUGACGGCAUCAGAUUUGAAGUAAAGAUUUAUCGGUAAUGGAUGGGGAUGCGUCUGAUUAGCUUGUUGGCGGGGUAACGGCCCACCAAGGCUACGAUCAGUAGGGGUUCUGAGAGGAAGGUCCCCCACAUUGGAACUGAGACACGGUCCAAACUCCUACGGGAGGCAGCAGUGAGGAAUAUUGGUCAAUGGACGGAAGUCUGAACCAGCCAAGUAGCGUGCAGGAUGACGGCCCUAUGGGUUGUAAACUGCUUUUGUAUGGGGAUAAAGUUAGGGACGUGUCCCUAUUUGCAGGUACCAUACGAAUAAGGACCGGCUAAUUCCGUGCCAGCAGCCGCGGUAAUACGGAAGGUCCAGGCGUUAUCCGGAUUUAUUGGGUUUAAAGGGAGCGUAGGCUGGAGAUUAAGUGUGUUGUGAAAUGUAGACGCUCAACGUCAGAAUUGCAGCGCAUACUGGUUUCCUUGAGUACGCACAACGUUGGCGGAAUUCGUCGUGUAGCGGUGAAAUGCUUAGAUAUGACGAAGAACUCCGAUUGCGAAGGCAGCUGACGGGAGCGCAACUGACGCUUAAGCUCGAAGGUGCGGGUAUCAAACAGGAUUAGAUACCCUGGUAGUCCGCACAGUAAACGAUGGAUGCCCGCUGUUGGUACCUGGUAUCAGCGGCUAAGCGAAAGCAUUAAGCAUCCCACCUGGGGAGUACGCCGGCAACGGUGAAACUCAAAGGAAUUGACGGGGGCCCGCACAAGCGGA
rnacentral:rRNA from 1 species